rnacentral:lncRNA from 1 species
GCUCAUCAACUUGCCCUGACCCCGAGGUUCAGCUUCCUCUUCCGGGGUCUUGUUUUUAUUAGCUAUUUUGUGUCAUUUACUAAAUUAUUUGUUGACUGAAAACCAGGAAUUCCACAAUCCACAGAAGAAAGGCAAGCCUUGGCGGACUAGGGACCGUGCCGCCUUUAGCUCAGCCUCAUAGCAGUGACAUUUCCCCCAAAUGUUGGCUAAUACACAUUGACUGGCACUUGCAAACUACUUUGGGUUUGUGUCUGCGAAGGGGAGGAGUCUUCCCUAAACUGCAGAUAGACCUGCUUGGGCCAGGGGGCAAGAAGUUCCUGGAGUUCGUGUGUGCCUUUGCUGUGACUCUGUUUCGUCCGAAAGGAACAGUUGGCAGGGAGUUUAGUGGCUUUAGAGGUGGAGGACUCAGAAGAUGGUGAGAGUCUUAAGGACUAGCGCAUCUGACUCUCGCCUGUGCUAAAAGGAAGAGUGGAAAGCUGUGGGGACGGAGGGCACGUGAGCAAAGGAGACUCAGGAGACUCCUCCUCCUCCUCCAGGUGGGUCCUCUCCCUCCUCCUCCUCCUCCUCCUCCUCCUCCUCCUCCUCCUCCUCCUCCUCCUCCUCCUCCGGGUGGGUCCUCUCCCUCCUCCUCUGGGUGGAUGCUCCCCCUCUG